rnacentral:rRNA from 1 species
UACGUAGGUGGCAAGCGUUGUCCGGAUUUACUGGGCGUAAAGGGCGUGCAGGCGGUUUGUUAAGUCUAGGGUGAAAGCUCCCGGCUCAACUGGGAGAGGUCCUUGGAUACUGACAGACUUGAGGGAGGCAGAGGAGAAUGGAAUUCCCGGUGUAGUGGUGAUAUGCGUAGAUAUCGGGAGGAACACCAGUGGCGAAGGCGGUUCUCUGGGCCUUACCUGACGCUGAGACGCGAAAGCGUGGGGGAGCGAACCGG